CCUACGGGCGGCUGCAGUGGGGAAUAUUGGACAAUGGGGGCAACCCUGAUCCAGCCAUGCCGCGUGUGUGAAGAAGGCCCUCGGGUUGUAAAGCACUUUCAGUGAGGAAGAACGCCUGGUGGUUAAUACCCAUCAGGAAAGACAUCACUCACAGAAGAAGCACCGGCUAACUCCGUGCCAGCAGCCGCGGUAAUACGGAGGGUGCGAGCGUUAAUCGGAAUUACUGGGCGUAAAGCGCGCGUAGGUGGCUUGAUAAGCCGGUUGUGAAAGCCCCGGGCUCAACCUGGGAACGGCAUCCGGAACUGUCAAGCUAGAGUGCAGGAGAGGAAGGUAGAAUUCCCGGUGUAGCGGUGAAAUGCGUAGAGAUCGGGAGGAAUACCAGUGGCGAAGGCGGCCUUCUGGACUGACACUGACACUGAGGUGCGAAAGCGUGGGUAGCAAACAGGAUUUAGAUACCCGAGUAGUC
rnacentral:rRNA from 1 species